UACGUAGGUGGCAAGCGUUGUUCGGAAUUAUUGGGCGUAAAGGGCGCGUAGGCGGUUUGUUAAGUCAGCUGUGAAAGCCCGGGGCUCAACCCCGGAGGGUCAGCUGAUACUGGCAGGCUAGAGUACAGAAGAGGUAACUGGAAUUCCCGGUGUAGCGGUGAAAUGCGUAGAUAUCAGCUGGAACGCCAAUGGUGAAAACAGCUCGCUGGGGGUUUGCAGACGCUGAGACACGAAAGCCAGGGGAGCGAACGGG
rnacentral:rRNA from 1 species